UGGAUGCUUAUUGCUAGAUCCAUAUCAGUCCAUUAGUUAUCAUGUACGAGCCAUUGGAAAGUGAUUCAAGGUGAUAGCCCAUAGUGUCUUAAGCCAUUAAUGGACCUUGACUACCAUCUCUAGUGACUUUUUAUGGAUUAAAACUUCAUUGUCAAACCUAUACCGGUUCGGGAAAUAACUAUAGGUUAAAUCCCCAAUGCGAGGAGAAAAAUCCGGAAUUUUCCACUUUGCAUCUGGCACUUGAACCUAGCAACCUUCAGCUCCGGGAGACUUUCUUUCUUACACUUUUUACUUAGUUCUAUGUGAGUUUAGUUUAAAUCACCACUUUCAAAACAAUUUUAUUUUCUUUUAAAUUUCAAGUUUGUGCUAAAGGAAAUCAUCAGAAUCAAUUUCUAAUUUAGAGUCUGUCACUGAUAGAGUGAAAACCCAUCCCUGAGUUCGACCUUAGAACUACUAUACUAUAGUAGCUUUGCUACGCCAGUAUAAGGUCAUAGGUUUU
rnacentral:lncRNA from 1 species